GACGAACGCUGGCGGCGUGCUUAACACAUGCAAGUCGAGCGGAGCGGCGAACGGGUGAGUAACGCGUGAGUAACUGCCCCCCUCCCUGGGAUAACAGUUGGAAAGGGCUGCUAAUACCGGAUAGUGGGGGAUGACUCGGGUCCUAACAGCUUGUUGGUGGGGUAGUGGCCUACCAAGGCGACGACGGGUAGCCGGCCUGAGAGGGCGACCGGCCACAUUGGGCUGGGAUGCGGCCCCAACUCCUACUGGCGGCAGCAGUGGGGAAUAGUGCACCAUGGGGCAAACGCUGAUGCAGCAACGCCGCGUGCGGGAGGACGGCCUUCGGGUUGGAAACCUCUUUCAGCCAUGACGCGGUAGUGGCAGAAGAAGCACCGGCUAACUACGUGCCAGCAGCCGCGGUAAUUC
rnacentral:rRNA from 1 species